rnacentral:rRNA from 1 species
UACGUAGGGGGCGAGCGUUGUCCGGAUUUAUUGGGCGUAAAGGGCGCGUAGGCGGUCCAACAAGUCAGGGGUGAAAUCCUGCAGCUCAACUGCAGAAGUGCCUUUGAUACUGUUGGUCUUGAGGGAGAUAGGGGUGUGCGGAACUCACAGUGGAGCGGUGAAAUGCGUUGAUAUUGUGAGGAACACCGGUGGCGAAGGCGGGAUCCUGGGCCUUACCUGACGCUGAGGAGCGAAAGCGUGGGGAGCAAACAGG